rnacentral:rRNA from 1 species
UACAGAGGGGGCAAGCGUUAUUCGGAAUUAUUGGGCGUAAAGGGCGCGUAGGCGGCCUGGCAAGUGACGGGUGAAAGCCCUCGGCUUAACCGAGGAACUGCCUGUCAGACUGUUAGGCUUGAGACCGGGAGAGGUGAGUGGAAUUCCCAGUGUAGCGGUGAAAUGCGUAGAUAUUGGGAGGAACACCAGUGGCGAAGGCGGCUCACUGGACCGGUACUGACGCUGAGACGCGAAAGCGUGGGGAGCGAACAGG